CAUUCUCUACCCAGUAAUCCAGGGGUAGGUAACCUAUGGCACGGGUGCUGAAGGCGACACACGAGCUGAUUGUCAGUGGGACUCACACUACCCGAGUCCUGGCCACCAGCCCAAGGGUCUCUGCAGUUUAAUUUAAUUUUAAAUGAAGCUUCUUAAACAUUUUAACAA